rnacentral:rRNA from 1 species
CGCUACGGCCACGCGGCCCGGAACACACCUGAUCCCGUCUGGUCUCGGAAGCUAAGCAGAGUCGGGCCUGCUUAGUACUUGGAUGGGAGACCACCUGGGAAGACCGGGUGCUAUAGGGG